rnacentral:rRNA from 1 species
AUUGAACGCUGGCGGCAGGCUUAACACAUGCAAGUCGAGCGAGCGGCGGACGGGUGAGUAAUGUCUGGGAACCUGCCUGAUGGAGGGGGAUAACUACUGGAAACGGUAGCUAAUACCGCAUACCAUCAGAUGUGCCCAGAUGGGAUUAGCUAGUAGGUGGGGUAAUGGCUCACCUAGGCGACGAGCCCUAGCUGGUCUGAGAGGAUGACCAGCCAACCUGGAACUGAGCACCGGUCCAGAUCCCUAGGGGGGGCAGCAGUGGGAAAUAUUGCCCAAUGGGCGAAAGCCGGAUGCAGCCAUGCCGCGUGUGUGAAGAAGGCCUCGGGUUGUAAAGCACUUUCAGCGAGGAGGCGUUACUCGCAGAAGAAGCACCGGCUAACUCCGUGCCAGCAGCCGCGGUAAUAC